rnacentral:rRNA from 1 species
AUUCCAGCUCCAAUAGCGUAUAUUAAAGUUGUUGCGGUUAAAAAGCUCGUAGUUGGAUUUCUGCUAGGGACGAUCGGUCCACCCACUGGGUGUGUAUCUGUGUCGGCCUUGGCAUCUUCCUGGCGAACGCAACUGCACUUGACUGUGUGGUGCGGUAUCCAGGACUUUUACUUUGAGGAAAUUAGAGUGUUUCAAGCAGGCGCACGCCUUGAAUACAUUAGCAUGGAAUAAUAAGAUAGGACCUGAGUUCUAUUUUGUUGGUUUCUAGAGCUGAGGUAAUGAUUAAUAGGGAUAGUUGGGGGCAUUCGUAUUUAACAGUCAGAGGUGAAAUUCUUGGAUUUGUUAAAGACGGACUACUGCGAAAGCAUUUGCCAAGGAUGUUUUCAUCG